GACGAACGCUGGCGGCGUGCUUAACACAUGCAAGUCGAACGGUGAAGCGCCUUCCUUUUUGGUGGGUGUGGAUGAGUGGCGAACGGGUGAGUAACUCGUGAGUAACCUGCCCCCUUCUUCUGGAUAACCGCAUGAAAGUGUGGCUAAUACGGGAUAUUCUGGGUCUGUCGCAUGAUGGGUCUGGGAAAGAUAUUGUUUCGGUGGGGGAUGGGCUCGCGGCCUAUCAGCUUGUUGGUGGGGUGAUGGCCUACCAAGGCGGUGACGGGUAGCCGGCCUGAGAGGGUGGACGGUCACACUGGGACUGAGACACGGCCCAGACUCCUACGGGAGGCAGCAGUGGGGAAUAUUGCACAAUGGGCGCAAGCCUGAUGCAGCGACGCCGCGUGAGGGAUGGAGGCCUUCGGGUUGUGAACCUCUUUCGCCAGUGAAGCAGGCCUGCCUCGUUUGUGGGUGGGUUGACGGUAGCUGGAUAAGAAGCGCCGGCUAACUACGUG
rnacentral:rRNA from 1 species